GUAAGCUACUAAGAGUAAAUGGUGGAUGCCUUGGCUAGUAGAGGCGAUGAAGGACGUGCCAGGCUGCGAUAAGACUCGGGGAGCCGUCAAGGGGCUUUGAUCCGGGUAUUUCCGAAUGGGGCAACCCAACUGAUAGCGAUGUCAGUUACCAUAUAAUGGAGCAAACGUUGGGAAUUGAAACAUCUUAGUACCAACAGGAAGAGAAAUCAAAAGAGAUUACGCUAGUAGCGGCGAGCGAACGCGUAAGAGGGCAAACCACUAGUUUACUAGUGGGGUUGUAGGACUGCAACAUAGACUAAACAAAGCUAAUAGAAUAACCUGGAAAGGUUAAGCGUAGAGGGUGAUACUCCCGUAUAUGAAAGCAAUGUUUUACUUAGCAGUAUCCUGAGUAGGGCGGAACACGUGAUAUUCUGUCUGAAGCUGGGUAGACCACUAUCCAACCCUAAAUACUACUACUAGACCGAUAGCGAACAAGUACCGUGAGGGAAAGGUGAAAAGAACUGAGGUGAUCAGAGUGAAAUAGAACCUGAAACCAUUUACUUACAAUCAUUCAGAGCCCUAUGAUUUAUCAGGGUGAUGGACUGCCUUUUGCAUAAUGAGCCUGCGAGUUGUGAUGUCUGGCGAGGUUAAGGAAACCCGGAGCCGUAGCGAAAGCGAGUCUUAAUAGGGCGAUUAGUCAGAUGUUGCAGACCCGAAACGAUGUGAUCUAUCCAUGAGCAGGUUGAAACUGGUGUAAGAGCCAGUGGAGGACCGAACCCGCUAGCGUUGAAAAGCUAUGGGAUGACUUGUGGAUAGGGGUGAAAGGCCAAUCAAACAUCGUGAUAGCUGGUUCUCUCCGAAAUAUAUUUAGGUAUAGCGUUGUGUCGUAACACUAGGGGGUAGAGCACUGAAUGGGCUAGGGCAUACACCAAUGUACCAAACCCUAUCAAACUCCGAAUACCUAGUGUGUAAUCACAGCAGUCAGGCGGCGAGUGAUAAAAUCCGUCGUCGAGAGGGGAACAACCCAGACUAACAGCUAAGGUCCCUAAAUCUCAUUUAAGUGGAAAACGAUGUGAAGUUACUGUAACAACCAGGAGGUUGGCUUAGAAGCAGCCAUCCUUUAAAGAAAGCGUAAUAGCUCACUGGUCUAGUGAUUUUGCGCGGAAAAUAUAACGGGGCUAAAAUGAGUACCGAAGCUUUAGACUUAGUUUUACUAAGUGGUAGGAGAGCGUUCUAUUCAGCGUUGAAGGUGUACCGGUAAGGAGCGCUGGAGCGGAUAGAAGUGAGCAUGCAGGCAUGAGUAGCGAUAAUUGGGGUGAGAAUCCCCAACGCCGUAAACCCAAGGUUUCCUACGCGAUGCUCGUCAUCGUAGGGUUAGCCGGGUCCUAAGCAAAGUCCGAAAGGGGUAUGCGAUGGAAAAUUGGUUAAUAUUCCAAUGCCAACAUUAUUGUGCGAUGGAAGGACGCUUAGAGUUAAAGGAGCCAGCGGAUGGAAGUGCUGGUCGAAAGGUGUAGGUUAAGAUCUAGGAAAAUCCGGAUCUUUUUAGGCCGAGACCCCACAGGCAGACAACAUUCUUCGGAAUCGAGUCUGAAUCCUUGAUACUGUCGAGCCAAGAAAAGUUUCUAAGUUUAGAUAAUGUUGCCCGUACCGUAAACCGACACAGGUGGGUGGGAUGAGUAUUCUAAGGCGCGUGGAAGAACUCUCUUCAAGGAACUCUGCAAAAUAGCACCGUAUCUUCGGUAUAAGGUGUGCCUAACUUUGUUAAGGAUUUACUCCGUAAGCAUUGAAGGUUACAACAAAGAGUCCCUCCCGACUGUUUACCAAAAACACAGCACUCUGCUAACUCGUAAGAGGAUGUAUAGGGUGUGACGCCUGCCCGGUGCUCGAAGGUUAAUUGAUGAUGUUAGCUCUGCGAAGCAUUUGAUCGAAGCCCGAGUAAACGGCGGCCGUAACUAUAACGGUCCUAAGGUAGCGAAAUUCCUUGUCGGUUAAAUACCGACCUGCAUGAAUGGCGUAACGAGAUGGGAGCUGUCUCGAAGAGGGAUCCAGUGAAAUUGUAGUGGAGGUGAAAAUUCCUCCUACCCGCGGCAAGACGGAAAGACCCCGUGGACCUUUACUACAGCUUGACACUGCUAUUGGGAUAAAGAUGUGCAGGAUAGGUGGGAGGCUUUGAGUAUAUGACGCCAGUUGUAUAUGAGCCAUUGUUGAGAUACCACUCUUCUUUAUUCUGAUAGCUAACUGGCAUGAGUUAUCCUCAUGCAGGACAAUGUCUGGUGGGUAGUUUGACUGGGGCGGUCGCCUCCCAAAAUGUAACGGAGGCUUACAAAGGUUGGCUCAGAACGGUUGGAAAUCGUUCGUAGAGUAUAAAGGUAUAAGCCAGCUUAACUGCAAGACGUACAUGUCAAGCAGGGACGAAAGUCGGUCUUAGUGAUCCGGUGGUUCUGUGUGGAAGGGCCAUCGCUCAAAGGAUAAAAGGUACCCCGGGGAUAACAGGCUGAUCUCCCCCAAGAGCUCACAUCGACGGGGAGGUUUGGCACCUCGAUGUCGGCUCAUCGCAUCCUGGGGCUGGAGCAGGUCCCAAGGGUAUGGCUGUUCGCCAUUUAAAGCGGUACGCGAGCUGGGUUCAGAACGUCGUGAGACAGUUCGGUCCCUAUCUGCCGUGGGCGUAAGAAGAUUGAGGAGAGUUGACCCUAGUACGAGAGGACCGGGUUGAACGAACCACUGGUGUACGAGUUGUCCUGCCAAGGGCAUCGCUCGGUAGCUACGUUCGGAUGUGAUAAGAGCUGAAAGCAUCUAAGCUCGAAGCCAACUCCAAGAUGAAUCUUCUUUUAAGAGCUCUAGUAGACUACUAGUUUGAUAGGCUGGGUGUGUAAUUGAUGAAAGUCAUUUAGCUGACCAGUACUAAUAGCUCGUUUGCUUAUCUUUUUAAGCAU
rnacentral:rRNA from 1 species